rnacentral:rRNA from 1 species
UCUAGAGAUAGAGCUUUCCCUUCGGGGACAAAGUGACAGGUGGUGCAUGGUUGUCGUCAGCUCGUGUCGUGAGAUGUUGGGUUAAGUCCCGCAACGAGCGCAACCCUUAUUACUAGUUGCCAGCAUUUAGUUGGGCACUCUAGUGAGACUGCCGGUGACAAACCGGAGGAAGGUGGGGACGACGUCAAAUCAUCAUGCCCCUUAUGACCUGGGCUACACACGUGCUACAAUGGAUGGUACAACGAGUUGCGAGAC